AAGACGAGACAGGGGGAUAUGAUAGAAACAUUUAAAUACAUAAAGGGAAUCAACAGAGUAAUGGAGGAGACUAUAUUUGAAAGAACAAAAACUACCACAACAAGAGGACAUAGUCUUAAAUUAGAGGGGCAAAGGUUUAAAAAUAAUAUCAGGAAGUAUUACUUUACUGAAAGAGUAGUUGAUGCAAGGAAUAGCCUUCCAGCUGAAGUGGUAGAUGUUAACACAAUGAGGGAGUUUAAGCUUGUGUGGAAAAGGCAUAAGGCUAUCCUAACUAUAAGAUGAGGACAGGGACUAAUUAAAAGUAUUUUGAAAUAUUGGGCAGACUAGAUGGGCCGAAUGGUUCUUAUCUGCUGGCAUGCAUGCAUGCAGACCGACAGACAUGCAUACUGACACGGACAUCCAUACCCGGAUACAUACACACAUCCAUACACGGAUACAUACAUAUAUACAUACUGACAGACAUACACACUGACACACACAGCUCAUUUUUCAGCCACCAUGUUUCUUAUCUUUUCUUUGCAGGAGGAUGACUGGGGCCAAUGGGAGUCAGUUGGGCUCUCCCUCUUCAAGGCCUCCACACUGGCUCUCCUCCUGCACAGAGUGAGCUGGGAGGAAGUGACUGGUCGUCACUUCCUUCCAGCAGCACUUACGUUGCGGCUGCAUUUUUUUUGUUUUUUUUAAAGGG